rnacentral:rRNA from 1 species
UGGGGAAUUUUGGACAAUGGGGGCAACCCUGAUCCAGCCAUUCCGCGUGAGGGAAGAAGGCCUUCGGGUUGUAAACCUCUUUCGGCAGGAACGAAACGGUGAAGGCUAAUAUCCUUUAUCAAUGACGGUACCUGAAGAAGAAGCACCGGCUAACUACGUGCCAGCAGCCGCGGUAAUACGUAGGGUGCGAGCGUUAAUCGGAAUUACUGGGCGUAAAGCGUGCGCAGGCGGUUUUGUAAGACAGAUGUGAAAUCCCCGGGCUUAACCUGGGAACUGCGUUUGUGACUGCAAGACUCGAGUGUGGCAGAGGGGGGUGGAAUUCCACGUGUAGCAGUGAAAUGCGUAGAGAUGUGGAGGAACACCGAUGGCGAAGGCAGCCCCCUGGGUCAACACUGACGCUCAUGCACGAAAGCGUGGGUAGCAAACAGG